UACGGAGGGGGCUAGCGUUGUUCGGAAUUACUGGGCGUAAAGCGCACGUAGGCGGAUUUGUAAGUCAGGGGUGAAAUCCCGAGGCUCAACCUCGGAACUGCCUUUGAUACUGCAAAUCUCGAGUCCGGAAGAGGUGAGUGGAAUUCCUAGUGUAGAGGUGAAAUUCGUAGAUAUUAGGAAGAACACCAGUGGCGAAGGCGGCUCACUGGUCCGGUACUGACGCUGAGGUGCGAAAGCGUGGGGAGCAAACAGG
rnacentral:rRNA from 1 species